rnacentral:rRNA from 1 species
GACGAACGCUGGCGGCGUGCUUAACACAUGCAAGUCGAACGGAAAGGCCCUGCUUUUGUGGGGUGCUCGAGUGGCGAACGGGUGAGUAACACGUGAGUAACCUGCCCUUGACUUUGGGAUAACUUCAGGAAACUGGGGCUAAUACCGGAUAGGAGCUCCUGCUGCAUGGUGGGGGUUGGAAAUUUUCGGCGGUUGUGGAUGGACUCGCGGCUUAUCAGCUUGUUGGUGGGGUAGUGGCUUACCAAGGCUUUGACGGGUAGCCGGCCUGUGAGGGUGGCCGGCCACAUUGGGACUGAGAUACGGACCAGACUCCUACGGGAGGCAGCAGGGGGGAAUAUUGCACAAUGGGAGGAAGCCUGAUGCAGCAACGCCGCGUGCGGGAUGACGGUCUUCGGGUUGUAAACCGCUUUCGCCUGUGACGAAGCGUGAGUGACGGUAAUGGGUAAAGAAGCACCGGCUAACUACGUG